rnacentral:tRNA from 1 species
UGUUGCAUAGCUCAGCCGGUAGAGCAGCCGACCGAUAAUCGGCAGGUCGCAGGUUCAAAUCCUGCUGCAACGA